UACGUAGGGUGCAAGCGUUGUCCGGAAUUAUUGGGCGUAAAGAGCUCGUAGGCGGUCUGUCGCGUCGGCUGUGAAAACCCGGGGCUCAACCCCGGGCCUGCAGUCGAUACGGGCAGACUAGAGUGAUGUAGGGGAGACUGGAAUUCCUGGUGUAGCGGUGAAAUGCGCAGAUAUCUGGAGGAACACCGGUGGCGAAGGCGGCAUCCUGGACCAACACUGACGCUGAGGAGCGAAAGCGUGGGUAGCGAACAGG
rnacentral:rRNA from 1 species